rnacentral:rRNA from 1 species
UACGUAGGGGGCAAGCGUUGUCCGGAUUUAUUGGGCGUAAAGAGCGUGUAGGCGGCCAGGUAGGUGGGUUGUGAAAACUGGAGGCUCAACCUUCAGACGUCGACCCAAACCCCCUGGCUAGAGUCCGGAAGAGGAGAGUGGAAUUCCUGGUGUAGCGGUGAAAUGCGCAGAUAUCAGGAGGAACACCGGUGGCGAAGGCGGGCCACC